rnacentral:misc_RNA from 1 species
UACGGAGGGUGCAAGCGUUGCUCGGAAUCACUGGGCGUAAAGAGCGUGUAGGCGGUUUCGUAUGUCUGACGUGAAAGCCCCGGGCUCACCCCGGGAAGUGCGUCGGAAACUGCGGAACUAGAGUCUCGGAGAGGGAGGUGGAAUUCCAGGUGUAGCGGUGAAAUGCGUAGAUAUCUGGAAGAACACCGGUGGCGAAGGCGACCUCCUGGACGAUGACUGACGCUGAGACGCGAAAGCGUGGGGAGCAAACAGG